UUUCCGUAGGUGAACCUGCGGAAGGAUCAUUCAUAAUAAAGUGUUUUAUGGCACUUUUUAAAAAUCCAUAUCCACCUUGUGUGCAAUGUUAGAUCUCGUCAAUCUUGGCGAGAUUUUUAUACAUCAACUCAUUCUUUAACUAAUUUGUCUGAAAAAUAUUAUGAAUACUUAAUUCAAAAUACAGCUUUCAACAACGGAUCUCUUGGCUCUCGCAUCGAUGAAGAACACGC
rnacentral:misc_RNA from 1 species